rnacentral:rRNA from 1 species
GCGGCGGACGGGUGAGUAAUGCCUAGGAAUCUGCCUGGUAGUGGGGGACAACGUUUCGAAAGGAACGCUAAUACCGCAUACGUCCUACGGGAGAAAGCAGGGGACCUUCGGGCCUUGCGCUAUCAGAUGAGCCUAGGUCGGAUUAGCUAGUUGGUGAGGUAAUGGCUCACCAAGGCGACGAUCCGUAACUGGUCUGAGAGGAUGAUCAGUCACACUGGAACUGAGACACGGUCCAGACUCCUACGGGAGGCAGCAGUGGGGAAUAUUGGACAAUGGGCGAAAGCCUGAUCCAGCCAUGCCGCGUGUGUGAAGAAGGUCUUCGGAUUGUAAAGCACUUUAAGUUGGGAGGAAGGGUUGUAGAUUAAUACUCUGCAAUUUUGACGUUACCGACAGAAUAAGCACCGGCUAACUCUGUGCCAGCAGCCGCGGUAAUACAGAGGGUGCAAGCGUUAAUCGGAAUUACUGGGCGUAAAGCGCGCGUAGGUGGUUCGUUAAGUUGGAUGUGAAAUCCCCGGGCUCAACCUGGGAACUGCAUCCAAAACUGGCGAGCUAGAGUAUGGUAGAGGGUGGUGGAAUUUCCUGUGUAGCGGUGAAAUGCGUAGAUAUAGGAAGGAACACC